CAGUCGACGAACUCUGGUAUUGAUUGGUGCUUGCAUCAUGAUUUACAUUUGAGUGAGUGGCGAACUGGUGAGUAACACGUGGGAAACCUGCCCAGAAGCGGGGGAUAACACCUGGAAACAGAUGCUAAUACCGCAUAACAACUUGGACCGCAUGGUCCGAGUUUGAAAGAUGGCUUCGGCUAUCACUUUUGGAUGGUCCCGCGGCGUAUUAGCUAGAUGGUGGGGUAACGGCUCACCAUGGCAAUGAUACGUAGCCGACCUGAGAGGGUAAUCGGCCACAUUGGGACUGAGACACGGCCCAAACUCCUACGGGAGGCAGCAGUAGGGAAUCUUCCACAAUGGACGAAAGUCUGAUGGAGCAACGCCGCGUGAGUGAAGAAGGGUUUCGGCUCGUAAAACUCUGUUGUUAAAGAAGAACAUAUCUGAGAGUAACUGUUCAGGUAUUGACGGUAUUUAACCAGAAAGCCACGGCUAACUACGUGCCAGCAGCCGCGGUAAUACGUAGGUGGCAAGCGUUGUCCGGAUUUAUUGGGCGUAAAGCGAGCGCAGGCGGUUUUUUAAGUCUGAUGUGAAAGCCUUCGGCUCAACCGAAGAAGUGCAUCGGAAACUGGGAAACUUGAGUGCAGAAGAGGACAGUGGAACUCCAUGUGUAGCGGUGAAAUGCGUAGAUAUAUGGAAGAACACCAGUGGCGAAGGCGGCUGUCUGGUCUGUAACUGACGCUGAGGCUCGAAAGUAUGGGUAGCAAACAGGAUUAGAUACCCUGGUAGUCCAUACCGUAAACGAUGAAUGCUAAGUGUUGGAGGGUUUCCGCCCUUCAGUGCUGCAGCUAACGCAUUAAGCAUUCCGCCUGGGGAGUACGGCCGCAAGGCUGAAACUCAAAGGAAUUGACGGGGGCCCGCACAAGCGGUGGAGCAUGUGGUUUAAUUCGAAGCUACGCGAAGAACCUUACCAGGUCUUGACAUACUAUGCAAAUCUAAGAGAUUAGACGUUCCCUUCGGGGACAUGGAUACAGGUGGUGCAUGGUUGUCGUCAGCUCGUGUCGUGAGAUGUUGGGUUAAGUCCCGCAACGAGCGCAACCCUUAUUAUCAGUUGCCAGCAUUAAGUUGGGCACUCUGGUGAGACUGCCGGUGACAAACCGGAGGAAGGUGGGGAUGACGUCAAAUCAUCAUGCCCCUUAUGACCUGGGCUACACACGUGCUACAAUGGAUGGUACAACGAGUUGCGAACUCGCGAGAGUAAGCUAAUCUCUUAAAGCCAUUCUCAGUUCGGAUUGUAGGCUGCAACUCGCCUACAUGAAGUCGGAAUCGCUAGUAAUCGCGGAUCAGCAUGCCGCGGUGAAUACGUUCCCGGGCCUUGUACACACCGCCCGUCACACCAUGAGAGUUUGUAACACCCAAAGUCGGUGGGGUAACC
rnacentral:rRNA from 2 species